UGGGGAAUAUUGGACAAUGGGGGGAACCCUGAUCCAGCCAUGCCGCGUGUGUGAAGAAGGCCUUAUGGUUGUAAAGCACUUUAAGCGAGGAGGAGGGUACUGGUAUUAAUACUACCAGGUACUGGACGUUACUCGCAGAAUAAGCACCGGCUAACUCUGUGCCAGCAGCCGCGGUAAUACAGAGGGUGCAAGCGCUAAUCGGAAUUACUGGGCGUAAAGCGCGCGUAGGUGGUUCGUUAAGUUGAAUGUGAAAGCCCCGGGCUCAACCUGGGAACUGCAUCCAAAACUGGCGAGCUAGAGUAGGGCAGAGGGUGGUGGAAUUUCCUGUGUAGCGGUGAAAUGCGUAGAUAUAGGAAGGAACACCAGUGGCGAAGGCGACCACCUGGGCUCAUACUGACACUGAGGUGCGAAAGCGUGGGGAGCAAACAGG
rnacentral:rRNA from 1 species